GGCUAUUUUAUUAGCUAAUCACUAGCAAGUAUUUACACAUCAUUCAUUGUUCAUAUUAUACCAAAAGUAGCUAAGUUUCUAUACAUGCCAUACCCAAAACAAAACGUCUAGUUAUACCGAGUUAUUUCUUUGAUAGUGUGAUCGGCCUCUAACGUUUCCUUCGAUCCCCGAGUGACUAGAUAAGUACUACAAGAAGAAGAAAAUAAAGAGAUUAAGCACUAGGCUUAGUAAGCUUACAAGCAAAUAAAUCACAACAUUCAACAUAAUGGAUAAUUAUGCAUAAUAUCAUCUAACAUCAUAAAUUUCUUUACUUCUCAAUUUCUAUCUUCUUCUUUAUUCCCUUACCUUCUUUCUUACCUGACCUUUCCUUUUUCAUAAGUAUAAUCUACUUUUUGUAACAACCCUAACCCGUAUACGUCGCCGUAUUAGGGUUACGAGGUAUUACCGAACAAAUACAACCAUUAUUAUUUUUGGUUUUUUUACCUAUGUUUUAAACUUACUAAUACAAACUAAUUCAUAAUUUAUUCUUGAUGUAACCAAUCAAGACAUAUAAUCAAGUUUCAAUCAUACUAAUUAUCAUUUAUACAAAUAGACUUAUACUAUGGUUGAAUCAUUUAAAUCAAUUACAUUGAACAUUCAACCUAGAAUAUAUAAAACUAAGUUUAAACAUAAUGAUCAAGCCAUGUUUAACUAAACCGAAUUUAAGCAUAGGAAAUAAACCAUUAAAACAUAUUCGUUAAUACCAAAUUCAAAACAAAAAGAGAUAAGUCAUUUUCGCAUGGCUCAUAUUCACAUAUCCCAAAAAUUUAAACAUAUUAACUAGACUAUACAUGCCAUAGGUUUGAGUUCAAAAUAUAUAAAAUACCAAAGACGGUCGAUAGUGUGAUAGAUUAUGCUGAUGAUCCCCGAGCUCGUAACGAGUCUCCAAAAUCUAUAAGAAUAGAUAGACAAAGAUAACCAAAGUAAGCUUUUAUAGCUUAGUAAGUCUAUAGCGUAUAUAAAAAUACAUAUAAAAGAAUCACAUAAUUAUUUAAGUAAAUUUAUCGAAAUCACAAAUAUCAAAUAUAAUUACUAACCAAACAUUUCUAUAUUAAGUCAUUUUGUUUAAAUCUAAAAGAAUGUAUAUUUAACUAAUAUACAUAAACGGACUAAGGUAUAUACAUUAUAUGCAUAAAAUCAAAUUACUAACAUAAUCAUUAUCUGCAUAUACAGAUUUUUAGAGUACUUGUUAUCCAUACUUCAUCGGAUCCAUUUAUAUAUUUGUUCAAUUACGUAUACCAAAAGCAUAAUUUUUAUACAUUAUCUGCAUAUACAGAUUUUUAGAGUACUUGUUAUCCAUACUUCAUCGGAUCCAUUUAUAUAUUUGUUCAAUUACGUAUACCAAAAGCAUAAUUUUUAUACUUAUAAACUAUAAAGGCCGAAUACACAUAUUCACUUAUACCCACCUAUGCCGAAUGCAUACAUAUAUACACUCAUAAAUAUCCAACAAUUUUCAUGACAUCCGAUAUAUAUAUACAUACUCACUAAUCACAAAGAGUCGAACAAUUAUAUACUCAUCAACAUCUUGAAACAAUAUUCAUACAUUCAUCCAUUUCAUAUAAAAUCAUAUCUAUAUUUAUACCAAAUGCUUAGAAUCACUUAAUUCAUCAUAUUCGGAUCACCGGCACUUAGCCUGCUAGGCUUAUAGCCUGAUUCAGAUCACCGGCGCUUAGCCUGCUAGGUUUAUAACCUGAUUCAUAUCACCGGCACUUAGCCUGCUAGGCUUAUAGCCUGAUUCAGAUCACCGGCGCUUAGCCUGCUAGGUUUAUAACCUGAUUCAUAUCACCGGCACUUAGCCUGCUAGGCUUAUAGCCUGAUUCAGAUCACCGGCGCUUAGCCUGCUAGGUUUAUAACCUGAUUCAUAUCACCAAUUCCAAACUUGAAAAUACAAUGAUUCAACCGAAUACAUUUAUAUAUAUUUUUGAGUCUAUCAUAAACAUAUAUAAUUAUGUACUCAUAAUCAAAGCAUGAAUUUAUAUUUGUAUACUCAUACAUAUUCGAAUCUAAUAUAUAUACAUCCAUAAUUUCAUUCCUAAAUCCAUAUAAGGUAUCAUGCAUGUAUAUGCAAACUUGUUCGAUCCACACAUAUAUAUAUAUUACACACAUAUACAUAUAUUCGCACAUUAAUAUAAACACAACCAUAACAUUUGAACUUUUAAUUGAGUCUAAAAAUUUAUACUUUUAUAUACAUACCUAUUCGAACAUCACAUGUAUAUGUAUGAAAUUCACACAUCAACUAACAUAAAUUUUAUACUUGUAAUUAUAACUCAUUAAUUAUAAAAUAAAUAUACUUAUAUAUAUUGAUUUGAUAACAUGAAUUUUUGCUAACAGACUUACCUCGAAUAUCAGCGGACACGAUCGACUACUCGACUACUUUCGUUUUCCCCCGAUCCAAUUCCGUUUUCCUCAUUUCUUGAUCUUAAUUUGAGCUCAUUAAUGGCCGAACCUAGCUAGAUUUUUUUUUCUCUUGUUUCAAAUUCGGCAGUAGGAAGAUGAUGAUGAAUUUAUUUUCUUUUUGUUUUAUUUAACAUAUAAUAACAUAUAUUUUUGGUUUACUAUUUUAACCUUAUUUAAUUUAAUUAUAAAACAUAUAAUACAAGGGCAAUGUUGACCAUUGCCACCCACUAUCAUCUAAAUGGCCCAAUUGUCAUUUAAAUCCCCCAUUUUUAAAAGACAAAAACAAUUAGGUGCUUUUAAAAUUGACCCCCUUAAAUUUUUAAUUUUACACGAUUAAGUCAUUUUCUUUAAUCGGUCAUUCAAACGAUAAAAUUUAAACAUGGAAAUUUCACACAAUCAAAUUCACACAUAAUAAACUCUCUAAAUACUAUUAAAAUAUUUUUUUUUGACUCAGAUUUGUGGUCCCGAAACCACUCUGUCCGAUUAGGGUCAAAAUUGGGUUGUUACACUUUUCCUUUGCUGUUAAUUCACUGUAAUUUAACUCGUAUCCUGACCCGUUGAACCACUUGGAAUACUAAGGAUACUAGGGUCGUUCCUGUCUAUCAAUAUCCUGCCAAUGCCAUGUCUUUGACAUGGACUUACAUGAAUUAUUCCUGUCUCCAAUGCCAUAUAUAAUAUGGAAUUACAUGGCUCAAACCUGUCUCCAAAGCCAUAUUUCUAAUAUGGACUUACAUGGCUCAUUUCUGUUCUGUCCUGUCAACCCUAAUAUCCUAACAUUCCUAGGGUUCAACCGGGGCUUUCUAACACUUUUCCUCUGUCACUCCACCUUAAAUUCGACUUUACAUAUUUUCAUAACAUAAGUAUAUAAAUGCUGGAAAUUGACAAUAAUAAUGUAAAUAAAAGAAUAUUGCAUUUAUUUACUGUAACUUACCUUGAUACAAAAUGUGACUAAACUUUACAAUUUAGUCCUUUACUUAUUCUUUUCCCCGAUCUACUCCCGAAUUUCGUUCUUCUUGAUCUAUAAUAGCAAAUUUAACUUAUUUAAUAUUCACAUUUAUUAAAACAGUCCUUGACCCAAAAUUUUGCAAAAUUAUAUUUUUACCCCUAAACUUUCACAUAUUUGCACUUUUGCCCCAAGGCUCGUAAAUUAAACUUCAUCCUAUUUUCUUAUGUUUUAUGACAUGCUGAUCAUUUUUCCCUUCUAUGGCAAUGUCAAAAUCACACUCUAACAUAUACUUAUGAUUAUUGGUAUUUUUUUCCAAUUUAAGCCCUUUUACUCGUUUUCACUUAAAACCGAGUAGCAUAAGUUGUUUAACAUAAUUUAAAACCUCAUAUUCUAUCAUAAAACACCAAAAUACACAAAUUUCAGCCAUGGGUAUUUUUCCAAAUAUGAACCCUAGGCUGAAUUAUUGCUAGAAUAAGCUUAAUCAAGUUACUGGGACUCCAAAAAAGUAAAGAUCAUUAAAAACGGGGCUUGGAAUCACUUACUAUGAAGCUUGAAAGUUGAAGAAACCCCAGCUAUGGAGGAGAGCAAAAAUCGGC
rnacentral:lncRNA from 1 species